rnacentral:rRNA from 1 species
UACGUAGGUGGCAAGCGUUGUCCGGAAUUAUUGGGCGUAAAGCGCGCGCAGGCGGCCUCUUAAGUCUGAUGCGAAAGCCCCCGGCUCAACCGGGGAGGGCCAUUGGAAACUGGGAGGCUUGAGUAUAGGAGAGAAGAGUGGAAUUCCACGUGUAGCGGUGAAAUGCGUAGAGAUGUGGAGGAACACCAGUGGCGAAGGCGACUCUUUGGCCUAUAACUGACGCUGAGGCGCGAAAGCGUGGGGAGCAAACAGG